AACGAACGCUGGCGGCGUGCUUAACACAUGCAAGUCGAACGGACCUUCGGGUUAGUGGCGAACGGGUGAGUAACACGUGGGUGAUCUGCCCAGCACUUUGGGAUAAGCCUGGGAAACUGGGUCUAAUACCGGAUAGGACCACGCAUUUUAUGGUGUGUGGUGGAAAGCUUUUGCGGUGUGGGAUGGGCCCGCGGCCUAUCAGCUUGUUGGUGGGGUAAUGGCCUACCAAGGCGACGACGGGUAGCCGGCCUGGGAGGGUGACCGGCCACACUGGGACUGAGAUACGGCCCAGACUCCUACGGGAGGCAGCAGUGGGGAAUAUUGCACAAUGGGCGCAAGCCUGAUGCAGCGACGCCGCGUGAGGGAUGACGGCCUUCGGGUUGUAAACCUCUUUCGCCAGGGACGAAGCGCAAGUGACGGUACCUGGAGAAGAAGGACCGGCCAACUACGUGCCAGCCGCCGCAGUAA
rnacentral:rRNA from 1 species